ACUGGAGUAAGCCAGUCACCAGGUCCACAGAGUGAGCAAGUGAGCACCACCUGUUAACAGCGAUGUGACAAGCUCAGAAGCAAAUCCUCCAGCUCAAAUCAAACUCUCAGAUGACAUCUUGGCAGCAUCCUAAUCACAUUCCUACAGGAGCUCCUGAACCAAAACACCAGUAACCGAUCAUCCAACCUGCAAUCCUCAGACAAAAGCCACAGAUGUGCAAAUAAACUGGUUGCUCUGUCAUAACUUCUAAAAGUGCUUCCUGAUGGAUAUGAAAAGCUUUCUUUUAGUGUAAAGGAAGAACUACUAACUGUACCUGUAAACAAAGGAAACAAAGUAUCUACCUGCUGAAAACCUCAUGUAUUCUACUUAAUGCUAACAAAUACUCAUUAAGCUGUUUUCCAAAGAAGAGAAACCACUUGUAGCUCGGUGAUCCUUCUGCCCUUGCUUCCUUAAUCCUCAACAACAAAAAUUUGAAAUUUUUUUUUUAGCAGCAAAUCACAUGCUAGGAGAUCCUUCAGUUUCACAAAAGAAUCUUAACCGUUUCUUUCUCCACCUCAUUUUUUGCUGCAGCUUUUCAUUUCUAUCUAUUUGUCAGGAUGAUGAUGGCCUUUCACUUCUUCAGAGCACUUUUAGUCUUCUUCCUUCUUGCCCAGUAUUUGUUCAGUCCUGCUGGUCCCAGCCAGUGUAAAGUCCCCUCCCCUCAUUAAGUAGGCUUGCUCCUCAGUACUGCUUUUUCCUCUGAUCUGCCAAGUCAAUACUGGACCUACAAGGUCCCAAGUCCCAUUUUCAUGCCUUAAGAUGAAAACCAGAUGCUUAAAAACGAUUAACACCCCCUCCCUCAACUGUGUCACACAGCACUUCUUUUUUUCAGGUUUUGAUUGGAUUCUGUGAAAUUGGAAGGGAAAGAAAAAGAACACAAAAAGAUAGAAUUAGAAAGAGUAAAAUAGGAAAAGUUCAUGUUCAAAAUGUUCAAAUAUUCAUUGUUUAAAUUGCAAAAAUUUCCAAAAUCAAUGUAGUAUUAAGUGUAUUUCAUCAAGUCUAAGAAUUUCAUAACUAUUUAGAAAGGGCAGCAAAAUUUUAUUCACUGCAAAUCAGAAGGCUUUUUACUUUUUUCUAAAGGAAAAAAAUAGGAUUCAUAAUUAAUCCUGUGAUAUUGCCAAGCUUUGAUUUACAACCUGCAAGUUGAGAGAUGUUAUCUAAUAAGUAGUGCCAGACUGAAUAGUUCAAAGUGUUUCACAUACUCCUACGAAAAAUUCCCUUUUAACAGAAAGAAAGUUGAGGCAGAAUUUAGGUCACUUGUCAAACACCAUAUUGUUCAACAUCAGCAGAACAGGCAUUAGAACCAAAUGCACUUGACUGACAUCAAUGGAGUUUCCAUUCUUCAUUUCCACACUCUUCUUGGUACACAUUCAAAUGAGCUAUAAGAACAUUCAAAUUAGUCAAAAAGAGCAAAUAUUGAAACUCACAGGCUGGGAACACUUAUCACAACCCACAAGAUGAGUAAUACACUUAAUAUGUGCAAAGCUCUGUGAUAUUUUAUUCUAUUGUUUGUAUUUCAAUACACUAUGAAUGCAUUGCAACCUUCAGAUUAAGAAACAAUGAAUUAAAGAAUAAUAAGCAAUGUUAAUAUUUAUAUAGUGUUUACUAUUGCUAGGCUCUGUUCUAAGGAUUUUACGUAUAAUAACUCGUGUAAUACUCAUAAUAACCCCAUGAUGCAGCCACUAUUAUCAUACAACUUGAUAAAGCUUUCCCCUCCAAUCGUAAGAAUAUUAAUAUUCAAUUUUUAAAUCUGAGUUCUAUGGAGGAUCAAUCUGGAUGUUGUUAAAAAUAGGGUAUCAGUGUUUAUGUUAUAUGAUUUGAGGGCCACUAGCAAUUCCAUCUCUCCCUCACUACAUUAGGACAUAGUGUUUAAAAUUCCCAGAAGACGUUUUAUUUCCAUUAAGAUCCAAGUUAAACUGAAAAUGUGUUAGAAUAAAAUAAGCAUGAUUGUUAAUAAUUACUGUUAUUUUUAACCUCCAAACUUCACAACAAUGCUUCAAAGUAAGCAAUAUUACACUGGUAGUCUGACUUUCUACAUCUUUGUCACAGUUGUCAGUGUUAUAUUAACUAGUCAUCUAGCAGAUACAUUGAGCAGUCUAUUGUAAUGAAACACAAAAUAAAGAAACUUUGGGGGGCCUGCACUGUGGCAUAGUGGGUAAAGCCACUGUCUGCAGUGCUGGCAUUCCAUAUGGGCGCCUAUUCGAGUCCUGGCUGCUCCACUUCCAAUCCAGCUCUCUGCUGUGGCCUGGGAAAGCAGUAGAAGAUGGCCCAAGUCCUUGGGCCCCUGCACCCACGUGGGAGACCCAGAAGAGGCUCCUGGCUCCUGGCUCGGAUUGGCAUAGCUCCCGCCGUUGUGGCCAAUUGAGGAGUGAACCAGCGGAUGGAAGACCUCUCUCUCUCUCUCUGCCUCCUCUCUCUCUCUCUCUCUGCCUCUCCUUCUCUCUCUGUGUAAUUCUGACUUUCAAAUAAUUAAAUAAAUCUUUAAAAAGAAAGAAAGAAACUUUGGUUAGAGGAAGGUGGAGGAAUAGAGUGGAUGCAUGGUAGAGCUCAGAGAAGGAGAGCUCGGGCGGAUGGCUAAAGUGGCAAAUACCAGGCCUCCACAUGGUAGAGUGAGAACUGCAGUGGUUUUCCAGGGGCUUGGCUGCCUAGCCCCCAUUUCCUUGUCCCCCAUUCUGCAUCACAUAGCCAUAGCACACAACUAUUUUUUGAGCUUGUCUUGAGAAACAUCCAGUUGGACCAGAAAUAGGUACCUGAACCAAGCUAGAUUAAUGAGCACCUUCCCAGUGGUAUUUAGAAUGAGCACUGAAAGAGCCUGGUCUGGCCUGGCUGGUGGAUUGAAUAGAGGAAAUACAACCUUGGGAACUUCUGGUGGUCAGACCUGCCUGCAUCAUGGAGUGGAAAAGCAGAGUAAGCCAGUCUGCAGAGAAGAACCCAAAGGAGGGAGACAAGAGAGGAACAGAUAAAGUGUUGAUAAGACUCAAGUCUUAGGUUCCAGUUUGUUCCAGAGGCCGAGCUGUGUUCUUGUCCUUGGAUGCUCCUGUAACCUUGGACUGAGUCCCCUUCUUGGCUUUAGCUAGACAGAAUGGGCUUCUGUUACAAGCAGCGAAGAGUCCUACUAAUUGAAGAGCGACAGGCUCUAAGGGUGAAGUGGAAAGGCAGGACAAUGGCAGCAAAGACCUUCCACUUCAAUUUUCUGUAUCACUGGACUUAAUUAUAACUGCUGAAUCUCAGUAGCAUUAGAUUCCUCAAACAAAAAAUUAAAACACUCUACUCUUUUGCCUUUGGUAUAGAAUGUAAAAUAUUCAAGAAUAUCUUGCUUUUUUAAAUGUUGGAGUCUCUAGACCAAAGCAAUCCAAUAGAACUUUGCUCAGUGAUGGAUAUCUUCUAUAAUUGCAUUGUCCAUUAGGGAAAUUAUAGCUCCAUGUAACUGUUGAGUUCUUGAACUGUGGCUAAUAUCAAUAACAAGUUGAAUUUUUUAUUUUAUUUUAAAUAACAAAUUUAAGUAGCUAAAUUUGUUAUUUAAAAUGUGUUAUUUGUUAUCACAGCUCUCUAACCAUGCUUCUGUGACAAGAAGCAAAUAGUAAAGUUGGUUUCCAGUAUUAAGAUGAGACUCAAAAGAAACUGGAUUUGAGUACUUCAGAAACAAUAGGGUACAGCUGUGAACUACCUAACCCAGUAAUUGCAAACUGUGUGCCUACCUCCCCCUCCAUCAAUAACUUGGAAGAAGGAUUUCAAGAUGUGUCUCUGAGAAUUACUUGUUUUUUUUUUAAAAAAAAGGAACAAAAACAACGAAGGAAGAAGAAUCAUUUUUUAAGAUUUAUUUUAUUUAUCUGAAAGGCACAGUUACAGAGAGAGAGAGAGAGAGAGAGAGAGAGAGAGAGAGAGAUGGCUGCAAAAGCAGGGAUUGGGCCAGGCUGAAGUCAGGAGGCAGGAGCUUUAUUGGGGUCUCCCACGUGGGUUCAGAGAUCCAAGUACUUGAGCCAUCUUCCACUGCUUUCCCAGGGGCAUUAGCAGGGACUGGAUUGGAAGUUCAGCAUCAUCUAUAAUGCCCUAGGAAGAAGAAUCUUUAAUCUCACUUGAAAAAGAUACAAUGGUUCAGAAUAAAAUGUAACUGAUUGCGUUAAUAAUUCUGCAAAAUUAGUGUAGCCCUAAAGAGGAGUAACUGGUCAGAAAGGUUAGCAAGUUAUCUCAAUUGUGGAGAAUAAUGAAUCAGCCCCAAGGUGUUCAGAAUGUAAAUUAUAUAUUUAACCUCCUGUAGUUGUC